UAUUGGAAAGGUGUGACGUCAGUGGUGAUGGAUUGUAAUUGGCAGUUUUGUAGAACUGUAAAUGGGAACUGGCCUGCACUCUGUCAGUGGACACCUCACUAAUGCUGUGUUUGGAUUAUACCUUCAAAUAGUGCUUGGAGUAGGGAGGUAGGAACUAUGAGCAGGGAGCUGAGAGCUCAGGCUAAGAGGUGGGAAGCAAAACUGAGAAGUGAUUGCGUUCUAUUGAUAUUGGCAUGUGAGUAUUGUAUUAAGACAGGCUCACAUCUAUUCAAGUCUACCCUUUAACUUCUGCUUUUUAAUACAGUUGCAGAUAGGAGUUGAAUUUGAAGCCAGCACAAGGAUGCAAGACACCACAACAUCCUUUGGUUACCAGUUGGACGUUCCCAAAGCUAACUUGCUUUUUAAAGGCACGGUUGACAGUAACUGGGUGGUUGGGGCAACCCUUGAAAAGAAACUGGUGCCACUGCCUCUCACACUGGCCUUAGGGGCUUUCCUCAACCACCGUAAGAACAAGUUCCAGUGUGGCUUCGGUGUCACCAUUGGCUAGAGGUGCGAGGGGCUGCCUGGAGCCAGCUCGCAGGCCACAGCUUGGACCGGCACAGAGACACACAGGAACCUGGACUAAGUUUUAGAAAUUGGAUUCAGAGACUCUCUUACAACUGUGAUUUCUGGGGCAGACAGAGAGACAAAGACAACUACCAAGGAGCCAGGACUGGCCAAGCCAUGCCUACAUUCUGUAGCACAAUGUCUUUCCUUUAUGGUGUAUUGGAUAUACCCAGAGGCUAGAGAGAUGUAUAUCAGAGGGCAUCAGUGAUGCAUGAGACCAUGUGAUGUGAAAUCAAAGUAAGUGGGUAGACCUAAUAUAUGGUGAACAUGUAUGAUGAUUAAAAUAAAUGUGAUUUUUGUAAAA